rnacentral:rRNA from 1 species
AUACGGAGGGUGCAAGCGUUACUCGGAAUCACUGGGCGUAAAGCGCGCGCAGGCGGUCUUUUAAGUUGGAUGUGAAAGCCUACGGCUCAACCGUAGAACUGCAUCCAAAACUAUUAGACUAGAGUGUGCGAGAGGAAGAUGGAAUUAGUUGUGUAGGGGUAAAAUCCGUAGAGAUAACUAGGAAUACCAAAAGCGAAGGCAAUCUUCUGGAACACUACUGACGCUGAGGCGCGAAAGCGUGGGGAGCAAACAGGAUUAGAUACCCUAGUAGUCC